CAAUCAGACCUGUAUAACUAUGGAGGUAGAUUUGUGUCUUUAUUAUGCAAUCAAAAAUAAUAGGUUUGAGAGCAAAACUUUCCACACUGCAAUCAAAAAAUAGAUUUGAGAGCAAAACUAUCGACACUGCAAUCAAAAAAUGUUUUAUUGCAAGAUAAAUUAAUGUGAUAAAAAAAAUAUUAAUGGGAAUCCAAAAGUUUUGUUUGCAAACCCAAAAGUUUUGUUUGCGAAUCCAAAAGUUUUGUUUGCGAAUCCAAAAGC